rnacentral:rRNA from 1 species
CCUACGGGCGGCAGCAGUGAGGAAUAUUGGUCAAUGGACGAGAGUCUGAACCAGCCAAGUAGCGUGAAGGAUGACUGCUCUAUGGGUUGUAAACUUCUUUUAUAUGGGAAUAAAAUGUUCCACGUGUGGGAUUUUGUCUGUACCAUAUGAAUAAGGAUCGGCUAACUCCGUGCCAGCAGCCGCGGUAAUACGGAGGAUCCGAGCGUUAUCCGGAUUUAUUGGGUUUAAAGGGAGCGUAGGUGGAUUGUUAAGUCAGUUGUGAAAGUUUGCGGCUCAACCGUAAAAUUGCAUUUGAAACUGGCAGUCUGGAGUACAGGAGAGGUGGGCGGAAUUCGUGGUGUAGCGGUGAAAUGCUUAGAUAUCACGAAGAACACCGAUUGCGAAGGCAGCUCACUGGACUGCAACUGACACUGAGGCUCGAAAGUGUGGGUAUCAAACAGGAUUAGAGACCCCUGUAGUC